UACAGAGGUCUCAAGCGUUGUUCGGAUUCAUUGGGCGUAAAGGGUGCGUAGGCGGCGCGGUAAGUCGGGUGUGAAAUCUCGGAGCUUAACUCCGAAACUGCAUUCGAUACUGCCGUGCUUGAGGACUGGAGAGGAGACUGGAAUUUACGGUGUAGCGGUGAAAUGCGUAGAUAUCGUAAGGAAGACCAGUGGCGAAGGCGGGUCUCGGGACAGUUCCUGACGCUGAGGCACGAAGGUCAGGGGAGCAAACGGG
rnacentral:rRNA from 1 species